GCUGUUGUAUCUUGGUAUGGAACAUUGACUUCUGUUUGAAGUCUGCCUGACUUUGUCCCUGUUGAGAAUCUGGCAUGUGCAUGGAGAAAGGAGAUUACUGCUUUCACAUGCCUUGGAAGUACCAGACAGUGUGAGUGAAGGCUUAACAUCAUUUUAGGUUUAUAUACGUGUGUGUGUGUGUAUACAUAUAUGUGUGUGUGUGUAUAUAUACAUGAACAGAACGAUGUUUUGUAUUUCUCAGUAGGACAGAUGGGAGAAGGAGCUACUGGAAGCAAUCCAAAUGUUUAAAUGAGAAGUGAGCUGAAGAAAGAAUGUUUCUGAAAAUGUAUCUAUUCCUUAGUGCGUAAGAUAGUCAUUACUGUUACAUACCUAUACAUCAGUAUUUUAUUUUAAUUAAAUUAUCCAUGGCUGAUACAAUGUCAUAGUAUCUUAGAGAACAACAGAAACUCAUGCCGCACAACAAAAAUCUCUAUAAGCUACGAAGACGUUGAAGGUGUUCUGCAGAUCAGGGAACCUGGUCCCUGAGGGACCAGCAGUGGACUUGGGCUCAGAAGUUUGUGCCUCCUAAUGACCCCCUGAGAAAGCCUUUGUUUCUGCUGCUCCACACUGAAAUCUGGAGCAUAGAGAGCAACUACAAAGUGAAAGAGUGAAGAGAGUACUCUAAAGAGAGUAUAAGUAUGAGCAGUGCCAGUGACUUGAAGAAUAAGCAGGAGGUAAGUGCCAUAGAGCUCAAGGACUGAGGUGAGAACAGCUGGUUCCAGGCCAGUGCUGCUGACAUCGCAGUUCAUCUCCUGGAGGAUUUUAUGGUCUUUCCUAUCGAUCACAAAUGGCUGCCUGAAGAAGAACAAACCAAGCACGUUUAUUUGAAGAUUGUCCUUAGACGAAGAACAGGGUCUUAACCUUCCAUCAGAGCUGACAGCGUUCCUUAAAUGUUUUGUCUGCCUUUAUCUUCAUCCACACAAGUGCAGAAGUUGAAUGAAAGUUUUUUGGGAGACUUAAAAGAUCAGAAGUCCCUGUACCAGCCCCUGCCAUGGCUGAUCUGCAGCACCAUUGAAUGUGAUCAUCAGGAACUGACUAGAAAAUGCCUUGAAAAAUUGUGAAAUGUUCUUAAACAGGUAGAAGCCUUCAGUAGAUGUGAGGAGCCAUGUGGUCAUCUGUAUAAAACCUAGGGACCGUAUUUCUUUAAAGGACAAGUAUGGAGCUAAUUUUUUUUGUCAAUCCUGUGGUGCUCCAGUGUUCCAAACAUUCUCAGCAUUUGCAUCCAAAAAAGGUAUGAGGAUGUGUGGCUGGAGAAUACACCCCUCUACAUCAGGUGCUCAGCCACGUGAAGCCCCAGCCCUGGCAGCUCUUAGACGCGGCGGUAGCUCGAAGUGCACGUCGGCCCUGCUGUGAGACACAUUGCAAGUUCACUUGGGUCAGCAUUAGGAUGCAUUAAGCCACCUUAUCCUGUAGGAUAAAGGCCAGCGACUGUGGAGCUCACUGACUGGAAGAGGUUGACUUACAGAAAGUUACCCACUACUGAAUACUGGUAUUGCAUCAUAAAAGAUGAAGAUGUGGUGCAGGGGCUAAAAGAAAUGCAAAACGUGGAGGACACAGACAGUGUAUCAGAUCCGAGCAGCCUGUCAAUACAUGUCCUCCAGAGCUUUCUAGCAUCCUGGAUUCUCUCCAGAAGCGUGGAAGCACGUUCAACCAGACAUUACUGAGACACAUUCCAGAAAUACUGUAUGGACAGAAGGGAGAAGCGCAAAGUACCGUUUGGGUGUUUUGGAUGCAUUCCCUUUUGCUGUCAAGAUCUUUCUAAGUAUUUGUGAAAUGAGACAGGCUUUCCAUGGGUGCUUCCAUUGAUGGCCAAUUUGAGAAGCUAAUCAGAAGGGUCAUUUCCAAUGUGUUGUAAGAUUAGUUCCUGGCAGCCUGACUGGAAGUCACUGAAGAGUAGAUAGCUUCAUGCAAGUUUAAUGAAGCACAAGAUCCUGAAACCAGAAAGAGCCGCUGUGGUUGUCUAGACUGACCUCUCCAGGAGACUGAGGCAAAAUCCUUCCCACCCAGACGCUGCAGGAGGUCAGAUAAAGCGCCGCUGGGUUAGAGCGCUCGCCCAGAGGCAGCAGGCAGUCCUGGAGCACCAGAUGAUAUUAGAUCUGGGGAGAGCAAAGCUGUCACCUCGGAAGCCCUCGGAGCCAGCUCGGGAUGGAUAUGACAGCCCAGGUUCUCCAGCUGCAUGUCAGCUCCCUUUCUGACGGGAACUUUCUCCCUUCCAUGCCUCACAAUAUUUGCCUGAAGUCAAAGAAGGAUGGCUCAGUCCUUGCUAGGUGCCAAGGACUGGUUCAUCGCUGAGCCCUGCAGCUCUGAACCCGUUAAUAGUGGAUCCCGUUUUCUCAUAGCAGCAUCAGCAAAACAGAAACCGUUUCUGCCUGGGCAUAGACGAUGGACAGGUGCAACAAUUUCAUCUGGAAAGAGAGAUGUUUCUUGUCUCGUGUCAGAUAAAAAUAUACAUAAAAGCAUUCACAGGAAGUAGAAGUCAGUAGUAUGGUGAAAAGAACUAAUGCAUUUGCAAAAGAUAAUGUAAAUGAGGGACUGUACCUAGUGUCAAACACUUCGAGCACUUUGAGGGGUUUUUCCCUCUUCCAGUAACCUGGCAUGCAGUAUGGUGCCUCUCAUCAUUGACUCUCCCUUUUAAAUUUCAAAAUUUUAACGUAGGGAAAAGGAAAACAAACGCAUACACUACUGGUAACGAGAAUAAACAAACUUCUGCCUCUCCCCGCAAUGAAGACAGCAAGGUAAAGCUACACAUUUCAUAUCAGCUGUUGGAAUUUUUUCUUUAUUUUCUUACCAGAUCAGCACAGAGUCUAAAAACCAAUGUAACAUUGACCAAGGACUGCCAAGGUGUACUGAUCAAGAGCAUCAUGUAGCUGCACAUACACAGAAACUACUUUCAAAACACCCAUUGCAAAGCUUAGAUUGUUUUGGGAUCCUGCAAAGCCAGAGCAACACUGCAGUAGCACCGUCUGUGAGUGCUUUCGUGCCUCGCAGACGCACAAGGCCCACUGUCUCGACGCAUGGCCAGCCCUGGGUUUCCAUCUGUCUCCUCACCUGACCGAUGGCACUGUUCAGGGGCCUGUCUGUAUUGAACCUUUCUGGAGGCAUACUGAGGGAAACACCCUUGGCAGGGCCAGAGCUGCCCAAGGCGGAAGGCUGAUACCCUGCCCAGUCCUGUGUCUGGUCUUGCCUCAGCUGGAUCUCUCUGAAGGCUCAUGAGUCCUCUUCUCUGCUUGAAUGUUGUAGUACUUUCUCCAGGUCACUUCUGUUGCAGGCCUCUCCGUAGGGCAAGAUGUAUUUACGGCCACUGAUGAGAGCCCCACUCCUGUUCCUGAUAAGGUAGACAAAGAGCAAGCUGAAAAAACCACAGGGCUGAUCUGACUCCUCUGGCUUCAACACAGAAUUCCUUUAUUUAUUCUGUGUGCUUGAGACUGUCUAGGAAAUAGAUCCCGGGAGCUGCGCAGGAGGGAUCCCCCGGAGCAGUGGCAGCGUUUGCUGUGCCCCGCGCAGCCGUGCUGUUGGAAGCGGGCUGUCCUGCAAGCAUGCCGUGGGGGCUGCAGCAGCAUGCUGCAAGCUGAGCGAGCUGGCGGGAGCCACCAUGGCAGGGUCCUGCACUGAUGAGCUAUUGCCACCGCUGCCUGUGCCCUGAAAGAUCUGCUGAAACACUAGCGACAGCCACAGCUCUGUCUGCGGGCUGCAGACCUGAUUUUUCUCUCACCAUUGCAUGUCUGGAUCGACGUCACGGGAAUCGGUGCGUUCCGCUCUGUGAAGAGACUCUGCUGGGCUCGAGCAAGAGACGCAGCAGAAUCAGGCCUUACACUCCGAUUUCCUGUCCUUUUCCUAUACAAAGGAGCGAGGGAGGGAGGUAAGUGGACCAUCACGCUUACAUCUCUGCCAGAAUUCUCCACUGCAUAAUUUUGGGCCAGAAGGACGCCGGGUGUUGUCACCAGCUGAGGGACUGUGCAGGCACCACUGCCUCAGCACUCUGCAGAACCCAUGGGAAUAGAAAAUAGAGCAAGAAACAGAUGAAAAGAAGAGAAGGCAGUGUGAAAACAGGACAAGGCAGAUCCUGCACAAAAUGCGUGGGAGCCUACAGAGCUGACCCUGCUCAUGGAGGCUGCUGGUGGCAGUGCAAGGGGAAGGAGGCAGAGGUGUGACCUGCAAGGAGAGAAGACCUGGUACAGCAUGAUGAAAAUACUCCAGAACAUGUAGCUACAUCUCCUGAAAGCGCAAAGUCCUAAAGGACUGUUUUCCCCUGGAACGUCCUUCCUACUUCCUUCCCCUGUUUGCUCCUUCCUACGUGCUGCAGACGAAAUGCGCUGCUGCCGGAGGCCAUCUUGUGCACAGCAUCGCACAUCAGCACGCACCCUAAAAUCCCUCCCUGAACCUCAGCAUGGCUUGUUGCUGGUGGGAGUGUGAAGGUGCACUACGGCGCAGAGGGUCGGUGCCAGCCUGUGACGCGGCCGUGCCGGACGCCCCGGGGAGGCAGCCUGAGUCCUGGACAAGGAGCCCUGGGGAUGGCCGUGCCGCUCGGUGUCCUGUAACCAGCUCUGGCGGGAGCCGUGCUGACGCACUGGGAACCGGGAGCAGCUGUGGGAGGUAGCAACUGCCGCCUGAGGGGGACCAGCCUGGCGGGAGACAGACAGCUCGUGACCACGUGCGAUGGCAAAGUCGGCUGCAUAAGUGCCCCUCCACGCAGCAGUGCCGCCGCUGCAGCACAGCCAGGCACGAGCCGUUCCCUCCUCGUGUCACCGCUGCCAGCCCUGACCCGCGGCAGUGUUCACAAGUGUUGCGGUUCCGGUUUGGUGUCUUUGAGGCCAGGCUGGCUGCGGACGGCCGGGCGUCUGGUUGACGUGUGCAUGCGGUCGCUGGCCUCACGCUUGCCACCUGGCCGCCUGACAGACAGGUUUGUUUAAACAUGUGACGUGACACCAGCACAACGAUUUUGUCACAGGUUUUUAGCUCGGUCCCUUUUGCCAUCUCCGUGGCAGGAGGCUGUCAGCACGGAGCAGGGCUCACCAGGGAGCUGCAGUAACAGUUUACAGACCACAGCGACCUGUAGCUGGUGCUACAGGCUGCGAGGUGCUGUCACCAACCAUGUGCAAAGCGCCGAUGUUCUCCGUCAGAUGUUGGAGUUACGUUGUCUGGCCCGUGUCCCUUCCAACACGCUGUUGUGUGUAGGCUGCCAAUGCGAUGGUCUGGUGUAAUAUGCUGUAACUGCUGUAUUGCUUUCCACUAGCGUCACGCCUCACCAUCUGAGGAGCCUUAACUUCCAGAAACGCUUUGCUUUCCAUAUGCUUGUGCAGCUUCUGUAGCAUCCAAAUCCCUGCCCUGGUGGAGCACCAUAUGCAGCGAUGGCUGCACGGACAGGCUCUGUCACCUCCUCGCAGGAAGGGCACCUCAGACAGUGCUGCCUUUGAACAACAGCCAAAUAUCAAAGAUUAAAAGAAAAAAGGCAAAAAAAAAAAAAAAAAAUCAGCCUAGGAUAGUCAGCAGCACAAGUGAGCAGUUGCCUGGUUUUCUGGCUCUUUCAGCCCUAGUUUGCCUACAGCUGUGCUGCCUGAUUGAGCUGCAUUCGUGUGUGCGUGGCCGGGAAGGGAGAUGAGACCGGGGCCCCGAGAGCUGCGAUUACAGCGGCACCAAGCCCCGAUUAUCCCCUAAACAGCUGUGCUGGAAGGAGGAAAAUAGUACACCCAAAUUACGAGCCUGUCUUUCAAAGAGGAGCGCUGCCGGGGGAAGGAUUACAGACAGCAGCCACCCACCCCCGACAGCCUUUUUCACGUUUGCCCUUGGAGCAGCCCCAGGGAAGCCCCCAGGUUUCGCAGCAGCUGUGGCCACGGCAUGUGCUGGCCGGGCGACGCGGGUCCGGCCCCUACUGCCGCGGGCAGAGGAGGGUCCUCGCCUCCCCUUUCCUCACCGCCCUUCGCUGCACUUGGUGCCCCACAUUUUCUCCCACUGUAAUUCAGCCACUGGCUUUAAUGAAGGCUUCUCUUGUCAAGGCAUGCUAAAUGGACAGGGGAAAAUAAACACUGUGCUCCCCCUGCACUUUCUCUCCUGUGCCCCCGCCCUUUCAUUCCGGGAAAUGCUCUGGUGGUGCCUCCCAUGCAGUGCCGGCCUUCCCAGGAGUACUGCUGCUUGGGGCAGCACCUGCACGUGAUGGUGUCAGAAAGUCUCUCUGUUCAGGACAGGGAGGCAGAAAAAUCAUCCUGCAACCACUGAACUGUUGCUUUCAGCCCAUCUCAGAAAUAAACGAGGAAAAAAAAAAGAAAAAACAGUUCAAGAGCGUGUUAUCUCCAGUCUGCAAGGAACCAGUUAACAUGAACUGAAGCUAAAUCAUAGUGGGUGAGUAAGCCUGUAUGUAGCUAUACAUAUGUAUUUAUGUAUGUAUAUUAAUAUAUGUAUAUAUGAGAUAGUUGAAGGAUAUCAACUUAUUUAUUCUUGUCUGUGCUCUUACAGUGUAUAUGCACUGAUUUUUUUUUUUUUUUGAAAUGGCAAGACACAGACUGCACUUUUCAGCCACCCGAUGCCACAAUACUGAUCGCUCUGUGUUUCACUGGAGUAUUUAACACCCAACCCAUACACAGAAACUGUUCAUAUGUGCUUGCUCUCUUCAUUUAUCGUGAUUCUAAACAAAAGGUCGGCUCUUCUGCCAGCAGCCAAGCCAGAGCAGCGUGGCCAUAGCCAGAGUUACACGUAUCAUGUCAGAGCUUCUAUAAAUAGGGAGUUUUUUUGGUAGUUGGCCCAAAGCUAUCUGGUGGGUGUUGUUCUGUGACUGCCUGCACACAGGUCGCAGGUGUGACUCGUUUUUUCCCAAAGUGUCUCUUUCUUCCCUGGUCUAAUUUGUACCAGGGAAAUACAGCAGGUGAAAAGCUACCCUGUGUUUGUGGGUGUUUUUUUAACAUACCACAGCAGAAACAGUUACUGCGUUAUAUUUGUCAGAGUCACAGUAGUUUAUGCGUAUUUGCUAUUCACAGACUGCAGAAUAUUGCCCAGAGCCUCACUGGUGGGGACUGACAGCACAGACAUGCAUUCGCGGGAGACCAUAAGCCAGGAUGGCUGUACAGUAUGAAGGACAUUCAGUUUUUUAAACACCUUCCAGUAAAACUGAUUCCUUUAUAUUUGUAGUUAAAACUGUGUGGUUUUUUUUCUCACAAUUAUGCACAAACUAACCUGUAAACAAUUUGACAUCACACUUACGUACAGGUGAAGCGUGGUGGGAGGCAGAAGCGGUAAUUCGGUGGGUGCCACUGGAUCUAUGUUGCUGUGUGACGGACUGACUGGGCCGCAGCAAAGGCGCUGGGUGCUUGGAGGAGGUCAGAAAACGUAACACGAGCGGGGUCCCAGGACCGCGUCACCGGCCCCUCCGCACCCCGGGGCGGCUGUGAGAGCACCGCCCUGGCAGCAGUCGCCCCCGGCGCGAGGGAGCCCCGGCGGACAGGGAGGCGACCCUUGCAAAGGGCCGACAGGACUUCUAAGACUGAUUCCUGUUAAAAUGGUUGGGCCCUGUCAUCCUUCUGCUUAACGUGGAUAAGUUUUGGCUCUUUAAGUCUGCGUUCUGCCUUUUUCUUUGUUCAUUGCUAUAGUUUAAAAGCUGCAACAUCAUACUUGUAAACUGAUUUUGAGCUGAGCAGUACCAAUGCCCAGAAAAAUGUCUUUUUAUAAUGCCAAUCAUUUAAAAGUGCUUUUCUGUUCUUUUACUAUUAAUCUACAAAACCCUGUUGGGGCAUAAACUAUCCAUAAGCCUGGACAGCUAUUUUGCCCCAGGAUAUGCAGAGGGGCCUUGCACAGAGGUACCCUGGCAGCAGAGCCCAGGCCCCUCCUUGCGAGGGCAGCGGGGCUGCGUGGUGGGGCAGGGCGCGCGACGGCAGGCGUAGCUGAUGGGAACGCUUUGGUCAGCACCAGUAAAGCCCGGCCUCGGUUUCUGCUUCAGCCUCCUGCUUUGCUAAUCAGAUGGACUCUCAAAACCAGAAUAAAACCCCACAUGCAGCUCCCGGGGUGCUCUGCAGCAGCUGCGCUGUGCGUAGCAGACAACCCUGGGUCCUGCAGGCCCCAUGCCAUCGCUCCUGUUCUCUGGUUGGCUCCCUCCAAGCUUUGCCUUCUGCCAAGGGGCCUUUUUUUUUUUUUUUUGUGUCCCAAGCAGUUGAUCACUGGCAGGUGACAGUAGUUCCAAUACCCAGUUUGCUCCCCAGAUAUUUUAGAGAAUAAGGUGCUCUGGUAGCUGCCUUGCAUUUUGGCUGCUGCCUAUAAAUGGGCAAAACAAGGCUGGGCCAGAUACUGGGCCUUUCACUUGAUUCUAAUUUGUUUGAGCUGAAUAUUUUUAAAGUGUAAAAAAAUAAAAGCCACUUUUUAGACAA